rnacentral:rRNA from 1 species
CAAUAGCGUAUAUUAAAGUUGUUGCGGUUAAAAGCUCGUAGUUGGAUUUCUGCUGAGGACGACCGGUCCGCCCUCCGGGUGAGCAUCUGGUUCGGCCUUGGCAUCUUCUUGGUGAACGUAUCUGCACUUGACUGUGUGGUGCGGUACCCAGGACUUUUACUUUGAGGAAAUUAGAGUGUUUCAAGCAGGCAUACGCCUUGAAUACAUUAGCAUGGAAUAAUAAGAUAGGACCUCGGUUCUAUUUUGUUGGUUUCUAGAGCUGAGGUAAUGAUUAAUAGGGAUAUUUGGGGGCAUUCGUAUUAACCGGUCAGAGGUGGAAUUCUUGGAUUCGGUUACGACGAACUACUGCGAAAGCAUCUGUCAAGAAUGUUUUCAUUGAUCAAGAACGAAAGUGUGGGGAUCGAAGAUGAUUAGAUACCAU